ensembl:lncRNA
GGGUACGUGUUCCCAACUGAAGAGGUGCAAGAGAAAAUUCAGGACAAGGCUCAGCCUUAGCGAGUCAGACAUCCGUGUCCAUGCCACCGCUUGCUGUGUACUGCAGAGUCUUUGCAAGGCCAAAGGGGAAACUUCCAGAGAAGUCGCAGGAGGUGAACAGUCGCAGGAGUGCCAGCAGAUUUUUGAGCAGCUGGAUAUAAGACAACAACUAGCUCCCACCAUAGUGCCAUUUGACUUGAGAGAGCAAUUCGUUGCUGAAUUGCUAUUUGCAAACAGGAAUCCAGUUUUACACUCUGAACUGUCCCCAGGAACUGGAGGUGGGAGGGUGCCGAGCUUUGUGAGCAGCAGAACUCGUAAUUGUACAAUUAAUUGAAAAAGAAGUCUCAGAAGAGUUUUCAAAGGAGUUUUGGCAGUUUUGAUCAAGAGCACAGUCCUGUGCAAAAGGAGCACCAUGAGAUCAGGACAAAGUUGAUAUGGAACAGGAGCAAGAAAAAGUUGAGAGUGUAGACUGAAACACUGUUUUUUGUUCUGUGGUGAAAAACUGGUAAGUCUAGCUAUCCUAAAUCUUCUGGUCGCGUGCUAGCAAUUGGCUUUAAAAUAAGCAAAAUAUGUUCAAUGAUUAUUCAAAGUACAAGUGAGAGAUAUUUCACUACACUCUUCAGAGGUGUAGUCAGUUCUCGUAUACUGUGUAAACACUUGCUGUAUGCACUAUCUGACUAAAUCUGGAAUGGCUGUGAUAAGACUGGUGCUAAUACAAGGCACUGUUUUUCAUUAUUGCUAAUGCACUUGGUAUAUUAGAAAUAGUGCGUGAAGACCGUUACAGGUGAAUCCAGGAGGGGGACAAAAGAGUAUCGUAAGACUUCAGUCUUCACCAGAAGGACGCUAAGAUAUUUUGUUUCAGUAUCAGUGACACAUGUGAGAGUGUGUAAGUUAAUUUACAGGAAUCUGAAUAGCAUUUAAACUGCUCAUUUUGUUUCUGCUAAUGUUGGGACCACAGUUAUUCAGUAAGUCAUUUACAAGAACAACCAUAAGAUGUCAGAAUUUCCCCAUGUUCAAGGUAAAUUGUCUGGAAAACUGGUUGUAGUUUGUACAGUCAAAUUCUACUGUCAUUUACAGAAUAAUUGCAUGUGUUCACAAACUACAAGUCAGGUUCCUGAAAAAUCAUAAUGUUGCCUUAUAUACAAUGAAUUCUUUAAGUAAAUUUUAGCUUUAGAAGAGGUUCAUUUGAUGACUUUUCACACCAGGGAUGAUGUGCAGAAGUAAAUGACAAUGCAUAUUUUUAUUAGAUAACAUAAGAAAGGAGAAUUUAACAAAAUGAUUUCAAAGACUGCAAGAUUCAGAGACAGCUUUAAUGGGGAAGAUCUGAAGGAAUGUAAACCUGCACAUCAUUCCUUGUUUUUUUCUCACCUGCCCUACUCCUGGGACCACUUAUAUAUUAUACCUGGAACAUGAGUGGUGCCAGUACAGGCGUACAAAGGGAAAGGGUCUCCAGAGGUGGCAGCACUGUUUUUUCUGGGUUUGAACUAGGGUAGCAUGAACCCGUGUCUGCAAUAACCCUGUCAUAGCCUGAAUUGUAUCACAGAAGUUGUAUACUGUAUGGUACUGCCCUUCCAAGGCAUGUGCUCUGGGAAGCAUACUGUACCCUUUAUGUCUCCUUUAUGCACAUUUAUUAUUAUUAUUAGUGUCUAUUAAUUUGGCUUAGGACUCUCAGAGCUUCCUCUGCCCCUUACAGAGGGAUCCUAGAAAAUUAUAAUCUCUCUACAGAAUUGUGUAUGAUAAAUUUAAAAUUCUAUUAUAGGAUACAUAAACUAGAACAUGUGGCACCAUGAAGGAAUGAAAUAAUUAAGGAUUUAUUUUUAAUAGGAAUUAAAAAAAAUGAAUUAAUGAAGAAUUAAAUGGACGCUUUUGCCUAAGGUUGACUUAUUAUAAGCAAUGAUUGUCAACUUCUGACACCACAGCUAUUUUAAGACAUCUUUCAAGUUUCAUUUGAGAUACCAACAUCAAGUGCUUUCAAAAUUAUGGUGAUCCAAUGUCAAUGGUAUUGGGUUUAGAAGCUCUAUGUAGGACUUCCCCUGAUAAGCUAUUCCAUAUUAGAGAUAGUAACAGCCAUUGGAUGUUCCAAAGUAGGCAUGUUAAUGAACCCCAUUGAGUUAGUUAAGGAAAGUAAUCAAUGCUAAUAUCAUUUAAAGUUUGAAUAAACUGUUUCAUGAACUUUUAUAAGGCCUAAAU